rnacentral:rRNA from 1 species
AUGAAGCCUAGCGAUAUGUAAGUUAGUGGCGGACGGGUGAGUAACGCGUGGGUAACCUGCCUUGUACUGGGGGACAACAGUUGGAAACGACUGCUAAUACCGCAUAAGCGCACAGCUUCGCAUGAAGCAGUGUGAAAAACUCCGGUGGUACAAGAUGGACCCGCGUCUGAUUAGCUAGUUGGUGAGGUAACGGCCCACCAAGGCGACGAUGGGUAGCCGGCCUGAGAGGUUGAUCGGCCACACUGGGACUGAGACACGGCCCAGACUCC